ACCAUGCUGUCGUGCUCAGUAAGGAGUCCCUGUACCACCCCCUGCAGCUUGUGGAAGUGCAGACUCGGGCUCCUCUGUCCCUGUGCUGGCAGUCUCCGCUAUGGCUCUGACUCUCUCCUGCGCUGUCCUGUUGCCCGUGUUCCUGAAGUGACGCUCCCAGUCUACUGACAAACUUCUCGCUGUGUCUUCAUAAUGUAUUUGAAUAAAAAAAGCCUUGUCAAAGCUAA